GGAUGUUGCCCUUGGGCCUGAAAUAGUUCAGGCCUGCUCCCAACCCACAGCAAGAUGAACUCUGGCGUGGUGAACGGAGUUGGGAAACCGGACCCUGGACUCUUGUCAGCCCAGAAAUGGCACCAGAGGAAUCCUCACUCCAUUCGUUUCCUUCCUUUAUUUAACUUCAUACAGUUUGUCACCCUUGGAAGCCUGAAACCACUUUGCUGUGUUCUGCCAUUUCUCUUUGUUGAAGAUGCUUCAUAAGCCUGAGUUCUAAGCCACAUCUUUGAGUUACUCAGACCUGAAUUUCUCCCAUGUAUGCAUGAGAUAUACAUGUUAAUAAAGUUCUGUUUGUUUUUCUCUUGUUAA